rnacentral:rRNA from 1 species
CCUACGGGAGGCAGCAGUGGGGAAUCUUGCGCAAUGGGCGAAAGCCUGACGCAGCAACGCCGCGUGCGGGAAGAAGGCUUUCGGGCUGUAAACCGCUUUCAGCAGGAACGAAAAUGACGGUACCUGCAGAAGAAGGAGCGGCCAACUAUGUGCCAGCAGCCGCGGUGAUACAUAGGCUUCAAGCGUUGUCCGGAUUUAUUGGGCGUAAAGAGUUCGUAGGCGGUCGAGUAAGUCGGGUGUGAAAAUUCUGGGCUCAACCCAGAGACGCCACCCGAUACUGCUUGACUUGAGUUCGAUAGGGGAGUGGGGAAUUCCUAGUGUAGCGGUGAAAUGCGCAGAUAUUAGGAGGAACACCGGUGGCGAAGGCGCCACUCUGGAUCGAUACUGACGCUGAGGAACGAAAGCAUGGGUAGCAAACAGGAUUAGAUACCCUGGUAGUCCAUGCCGUAAACGGUGGGCACUAGGUGUGGGUUUCUAUUAACGAAAUCCGCGCCGUCGCUAACGCAUUAAGUGCCCCGCCUGGGGAGUACGGUCGCGAGACUAAACUACAAUAGAGUAGACGGCGUGAGACGUGCCGACGGACGACGACGAGGGAGUAGG